AUAAAUGUUUCUAAAGGCUGAUCUUUUGUGGAUACUGAACCUCAGGCUUCCAAAAAAGAAGCCUCCUCUUGGACCACAUCUUCCAGAUUUCCUGCCCUUCUCUGGGACUCACAGAAGAGAAGACCCCCUUGGAAGGCUGUUCCUUCGUGCUGGAUCCCGAUUCUUGUCUCAUUUCCUGGCUAAUGCUCCCCAUUGCUAAGGGCUGGUCCUAGCUCAGAAUUAUUCAACAUAAUCUGCCCCAAUAAGUUUGCCCUUUGCUUUUCAAACCCCACACAAAUACUGAUGCAAAGCAGCUACUGGAGAUUUUAAUCAAAGCACUCAAGUCUGCAUGUGCUGCAUUUGGACAGUCUGGCUUCUCCCUGGAACAAAUGAAGAUUCCUAUGGGGCCUGAAAUCUGAGCUGAGAAUUGUGGAACUUUAAAGUGGGUGUUUUGUCAGGGCUGGGCCUGAGAAAUUUGGCUACUCAGUGAUGCAGAGUGCUCAGGAAUCCUGCGCCUGAGCUGCUCUGGGGUACGGUGUGCAAGUUCUGUCAUGCCCAUCCUGUCCAUGCCCCCUCCCUGCC